rnacentral:rRNA from 1 species
GACGAACGCUGGCGGCGUGCUUAACACAUGCAAGUCGAACGAUGAAGCAAAGAAUCGAAGCUUCGGCAGAAAUUCAUUUCGGAUUAGUGGCAGACGGGUGAGUAACGCGUGAGCAACCUACCUCUUACAAAGGGAUAGCCUCGGGAAACCGGGAUUAAUACCAUAUAACAUUGUGACGAAGCAUUUCGAUGCAAUCAAAGCUACGGCGGUAAGAGAUGGGCUCGCGUCCCAUUAACCGGAUGGUGAGGUAACGGCUCACCAUAGUGACGAUGGGUAACCGGCCUGAGAGGGUGAACGGUCACACUGGAACUGAGACACGGUCCAGACUCCUACGGGAGGCAGCAGUGGGGUAUAUUGCACAAUGGAGGGAACUCUGAUGCAGCGACGCCGCGUGAGUGAUGAAGGAAUUCGUUUCGUAAAACUCUGUUCUAUGGGAAGAAAAGGACUGUACCAUAGGAGAAAGCUCCGGCUAAAUACGUG